GCGGGGUGAUGCCACUGUGCCCCACACUCUUCCUUCAAUCAGCUUGCUUUUCCUUUUUAAAAUUCAUAAGCGAGGGGCCAGCCCGGUGGCGCAGUGGCCAUCAUUGAGCGCCAGCUGUGUCCCAGGCACUGUUGAAGGCAAGGGCCACUGGAGGGGGCAGACGACGGUGAGGACGCUGCACACUGACUGCACGGGGCUCAGUGCUUUGGAAAGAAGAAACGGCACAGCAGGGCAGUGGAAAGAUGAACUGAAGGGCGACCUAUGAGCCACAAAGCAAAGGCUGUGACAGGAGAGAUGCCCAGGGUGGCGUGGGGGACACUGCCACGACCCGCUCAGGAUUUUUUAAAAUCGAGGUGAGAGUCACAAUGACAUAAAAUCAACCAUUUGAACAUGAACAGUCCAGUGGCAUCCAGCACAUCCGCAGCGUGCGCGGCCACCACCUCCGAUCGCGGUGUCGCCUGUUCCAGAGCCUGGUUCCCUUUUGUGGCCCAAUCGGGCUCCACGAUGCGGAUGGAGCACGUUGCAUGGGUCCCGUCACUGUGGGUGGACACUGUGAACUUGGGGCCCCGAGCAUCCGUUGAGGCCCUGUGCUCGGCCUGCCUGGCAUCUGUGCGAAGGGGACCUGCCAGCUCACAGGGUGACACUAUGCUCAACUUCCUGAGCAGCCGCCUCCCACCGCUGACGGCGGGGCACCCACUCCUGCAGUGCUGGGCCGCAGUGUUCUGGCCAAAGCCCCGGUCUCCUGGAACCUGUCACUUCCACCGGCGGUGGGGGGGGCGGGGGGCCGGUCACGACCUCCAGCGCCAUGGCCCGGGGGCCCAGAUGGAGACACCGAGGCACAGGGCCAGGUCCACCUGGCCCAUGCCCACUGGGCACGGUCAGCCCCGCCCGCCGCUCCCCAGAGCCCUUGCAGAAUGGGGAAGAGGCCUAGACCUUCAAGAAAGGCGGAAAUGCCCGUGUGUCCUGGGGUUCCCGCUGGGACCGUGCAGCUUCCUGGGGCCUACCCGGCACCCCCGCCCACAGCUGCCCCGCCGCGUCCCAGCCGGGCCCCUCCGGCCUCCACCAGCGCGUCUCCCGGCGCCUCCCAGUGCUGCCUCUCCCUGCAGCUCCUGGAGCCUGGAAACAGUUUCAAAUUUCAAAACCAGUUUCCAUGGGGCGCAGGUUCUCCUUCUCAGGCCCCCGCGAGCCGCUUUAACUGACUUUAUUCCUUCCGUUUGUAACAGUCCCUAAGGCACACCCAGGAGCCGCCAAGACCUGGGGCGUGGCCCCGCUCCCUCCCCCACCUCCCCGAAAUCUGUGGGGGUUUUGGCUGAGGAAGAUUGGCCCUGAGCUAACAUCUGUUGCCAGUCUACUUUUUUUCUUUUCUCCUCCAAGCCCCCGAGUGCAUAGUUAUGCAUCCUAGUUGUAAGUCCUUCUAGUUCUUCUAUGUGGCGCGCAGCCUCAGCUUGACAGGCGGUGUGUGGGUCCACGUCUAGGAUCCGAACUGGUGAACCCUGGGCUGCCGAGGCAGGGCGUGCGAACUUAACCAUGACACCGCCAGUCGGGCCCAGAAUUCAGCUUCUUACUCCCUCGCUCAUUUAUUUAUUUUUUUUUUAAGUUUUCUCACAUCUAUUUGUAUCCUGAAACCUUAUCUAGUUUCAUUUUCUCUAUGUCUGAGCUUUAUGACACGAGGUGGCUUUUGCAUGAGGCUUUGGGGACAUCUUUUCUGCUCCACAUUUUACUACCCUCAAGUCACCACGUCAUACACUUUAAAUAUAUUAUAAUUUCAUUUGUCAAUUACAUCUCAUAAAGCUGGAAAAAAUUCUACUAUGAAAUUCAUGAAGCAAAUUAAGAUUUUUGCACUUCACUCAAUUUUUAAAAGUAAGAAAGGAGUGUGUUGCCGAGAUCCACUCAUCUCAUCGCACAUCUGUGGGGUCUUUUUCAUGGCUGUGUAAUAUUCCAACCCCUUUGUCCAGUUGCUGCUGAGGAAGCAUUAAGCUUCCGUGAAAGUCUCCUCAUCGUGUUAACAUGCUGCCUGAAGCUUUAAGCAGCUGGCCCCUCUGUUCCCCCCACUUCCCCAAAUCUUGGGGAUCACUGGGGGGGUGAAACUGGCGACACUCUGGGGUCCAGCUCCCCGAGAGAAGCUCUCUCUGCCCCAGGGCCACCCCUGCCCCGCUGUCUCCACGGCUGCUUAUAAACCGGCUAUUUAUAGCCCCACCCCCACCCCGCCCACGUCACCUGCCCCGGCUGGUGCCACAGCAGCUCAGCGCUCAUGGGAAGGGGAAGUGGUUGCUAGGAGCUGGGUUUGUUUGGGGUUCGGGGUGCCCCUGCUGUUCCAUGAAGGCCUGCAUUUCUUAGAAGCUGAGAACACCGGGGUGACAGCUCAACCCACUCUUGCCACCGCAGCUGGUGGUGGAGGACGGCGGUGGAGGAGCGGGCCUGGCAGCUGGGUGCACCGCCCCUCCUCGCCUCCUCGCCCCUCGCCUCUGCCGCUGCGGCUGCCUCCUCCACGUCCUCGGUGCCCCCACAAGGGAUGUGCUGCCCCCAACACCCCAGCCACAGCCCCAGGAGGCGGAGAGGCCCGGGCGCCCCACCGCCGUCCCUGGGCCAAGGCCCCAGACAGCUCGCUUCUAUAUUUGGGAGUUUGCUGAGGAUGCCAGGAGCUGGAUGCACGUGGUAGCGGGCAGCGGGCGGGGGCUGAGCGGCGGCCAGGUGGCCUCGGGCCGAGCCCAGGUGUCAAGUGAGCAGGAGACGCAGCCGCUGCGGGGACCCCCCCACCCCCCGCCCCGGGCUUCCUGGCGGGGCAGCUGUCUGGGCUCACAAUGGCUGAGCCGCCCUCCUGGAGCUUCAUGGCGGGCUGGCCGCCCUUCCUCUGCCAUUGUCUCCAGGCAGGGGCUUCCUGUCCUGCCCCUCCACCCGAGACCCCAUCUGACCCCGCCUCAGGCUGCGCCCGUGCCGGUUCCGGGCGCUGAUUGGUGGCACAAGAAGCCGGGGGCAGGACGUGGCGGCCCCUCACGUGCCCUCUGCCAGCCGCGCCCCUGCGGUUCCAUCCUCCCCAUGACCCUCACCUGCGCUGGCGAGGUUCCAGCCAGUUCACAGAUGGGGAAACCGAGGCCCAGAGAGGCCACAUCACCCGCCCAAGACCACGUGGUCCUGAAGGGGAAAGAUCGGGUUUGCCCAGGGCCCCUGUGUGAGAUGGGAGCGUUUCACGGCGCCGUGCCUCGGUCUCCCCAUCUGUCAAGUGGAAAUCACAGCACGUGCCUCCCACGGCUGCGGAGAAGAUGAGUGAGUUGGGCCGUGUGAGGCGCCUGGAAGAGGCCAGGCAUACAGUAGGUGCCCACUGAGCGCUCCCGUGCGCCAGGAGGAUGUGUUACUGCUGCAGCUAUAAUAACAAGAUAAUCACGUAAUAUGGUAGAGAACACUGUUACUAUUAUUGGCUGAGCAAUCCUGGCUCAGCCACGUCCCAGCGGAGGAGCCCGGGGCCGACGGCCCGCGGCCCACUGCGGGUUUCACACCUGGCGAAUGGGGCCCGUGUCCUGCCACACACCGUGUGCACAGAGGUCAGGAGGCUCUCCAGGGGCUGCCAAAUAGGUCAGCGGGGCGGGAGCUUUGGGGCAGAGGGAAGGAGGAGGAGCAGUGUGGACACCCCGGGGGGGCCCGGCGGGAAGCCUGAAGGGGGCUGCCUUCGGAGGGCAGUGAGGGGGGUCGGGGGGUGUUACAAAUUACAGAGCCCUACUGGGCGCAGGCUCGGUGCCAGAGACACAAACAGAGCCAGUCGUGCCCCGCUGACCGUCUAGUGGGGUGGGGGGCAGACAGCAGACGGGAAGCAGGGGAGCCCGCGGUGGGGGGAUGAAGGGCUGCAGGAGCCGAGAAGGCAGGGAGCAGCCGGGGGUGCCGAGGAAGGGGCUACGCUGUCAACACGGAGGGGGGUCAGGGGACGUUUGGGCAAGAACCUGAGGGAGAGGAAGCAUGGAACCCUGAGGUUAUCUGGAGAAAGAGAGCUUCAGGCAGAGGCCACAGCCCGUGCAAAGGCCCUGAGGUCAGACGGUGCCUGGUGUUUUCCACAAGGAAAGCUGUAGCCAAGUGACCGAGGGGGACAGCAGGAUGAAAUGUGGGCAGCAUGGUGACAGGCAGAGUAUGCAGGGCCUUGUGGGCCUCAGGAGGACUUGGGUUUUUCCUCUGAGUGGGAGCCAUGGAGGGUUCUUGAGCAGAGGAGGGACGGGACCAAUCCAGGCAUUCCCAUGUGCCCUCGGGCCACUGGGAGGGGAACAGAAUGUGGGGGUCAGGAGCUAGGGCACCAAGGCCAGAGAUGAUGGCGUCAGCCCAGGGCGGGGGCCGAUGAGGAGAAGUGGGAGGAUUCUGGGUCUAUUUGAAGGCAGAGCCACAGGACUUGCUGACUGGCCACAUUAUGGCGGUGGCGGCGGUGGGGAUGUCCCUCUUCACGCCUUCCCCAAGCUGCGGCAAACAUCUUGAAACCUUUUCUCCCAGGUUGUCCCGUUCCUUCCUCACCUUGUUUGGUGAGGCCCUCCCCAGACAGAAGAACUGCGUCCGGGGAGAGUAGACUGGCUCCCAGGCCCAAGGCAUCCUGGGAAGGAGGAAGGAGAAGAACCCAUGAGGCCGAGGGCGGCUGUGCCUCCGCCUCCCCUCCCCCAGGCUGGAACCCCCACCCCAGCUGCUCCGGGCACCAGCUCCCAGCCUGCGGGGCUGUGGGGAGAGGACCGCCAGCCUGGGGUUUCCAGCUUUCUGGGAAAAAAGUCAACAUCCACUAUGGAUCUGGUCUGGCCCCCUCCCGUGUCCACUGUCCUCCCCCAGGUCCCCCGACCCUGGUAGGACCCCUCCCCACCCAUGUCCAGGGCGGAGGGAGGGUCACAGUGGGCGGGCAGGGGUUAAUUCCUGGAGCCGGCGUGCUCCUCCCACCUCUGGACGAUCUGUCUCUGUCCUCAGCCAUUGGUGACCUUUUUUUUCCAUGACCACAAUCUUCCCCCUUUGAACUAUUAUGUGCUAAAUAUAUAUUUUUUUUAAUUUU